rnacentral:lncRNA from 1 species
CGCGAAAUAUUUGCGCCGGGCAUCUACGGAAACGUUAACUAAAGAAAUGCGAACUGUGUUCAUCAGAUGCGUCUUAGCAGGCAGUAUUCUUCUUGUGCAUGGAAUUGCCGACGACAUGGGACAAAAACCCAUCGGGUUUCCACUUUCCCCCCCUUAUACGACGCAACCAAGUCAGCAGCACAGAGGCGACGUCGGAGACGGUUGUUUCGGCAGCAGUGGUUGCAAAAACGGUCUGUGCUGCGUACUGUCGAUUAAGGGAGCUAGUUGCCAAAGUCGUUCAAAUACCGGCGAGCCAUGCACCGAUGGACCGAUCAAAGGAGAACGAUACGACGGGCACUGCCCUUGUUUGAAGAAAGAAGAUCGAUGUAUACAUGGUCUGUGUACACCAAAAUGGUGGCAGUGGUGGGGCCAAAGGUGAAAAUGGUGUCUGAAUCUCUGUGAAGUACAUGAUGUCCAGCAUGUUUGAUUCGGUCAGAUUAUUAUGCAAUAAAGUUUGUGUUUGAUUGAAUAAAAAUAAUGAAAACAA